CUAAGCGACUUUGGUAUUUCAAAACUUCUUGGUGAAUAUGAGAGUGAUUUAUACACUAAAACCUUAGCAACAUUGGGUUAUAUUGCACCAGAGUAUGGACUGGAUGGAUUGGUGUUAAUAAAAUGUGAUGUCUAUAGUUACGGGAUCAUGUUGUUGGAAACGUUUACUAGGAGAAAGGCUAAUGAAUUUGAGGGAGCUCUUAGCUUGAAGCAAUGGGUGAAUUAUUCACUCCCAGAGGUAGUAAUGGAUGUUGUGGAUGCCAAUUUGAUAACACCAAUGGAUAAACACUUACAGAAGAAGCUAGAUGUUGUGGCAUCAAUCAUGAAAGUUGCAUUAGAUUACUGUGCCGAAUAUCUAGCAAGAAGGACAAACAUAAAAGAUGUUGUAGGGAUGCUACAGAAGAUCAAGAUUCAACUUCUUGCAUGCUGAGCAUAUUCUCAGAAUCUCUUGUUCCAAAUCACUUAUUUGUUGCAAAUGUUUACUAAAUUGUUGGAUUCAUGUAAAGAUUGUCUUUGUUUUUUUUUUGUUUUGUUUUAGCACUUGAUUCUGUUUUGAAAUGUUGGUUGGUUUCAAUAAAUCUCACGAUUUUCCCUCCACA